AAACCAUAUAAAACUAACGCAUAUAAAUACCUUCUUAUCCCCACGCCGCCGUUCUUUUCGCACUUUCGCACUUUCGCCCUACUCCUCCGAACUCAGCGCUCUCUCACGCUCUCUCUCGUUCAGGCUCUCUGUCUCUCUCGUUCAUUUUCUCCAUAGAAAUCGAACUGAGCUCUCUCUCCGCUGGGUUUCUCUCUCUCAUAUCAGUUAACGAUUCCUCUCCGUACCUUUAUUGUAUGGCCUGGAAGUGAAAUUCCAGAUUGGUUCGAUAAUCGAAGUGUGGGAGAUUCAAUAACUGUGGAGCUGCCUCUUCCUCUACCUCCACAAUCAUCAUGUAGCAGCGACUGGGUUGGGAUUGCUUUAUGUAUUGUUUUUGAAGAUUCUGAAUAUUUGCAAAAUCCAGCCGCCCUUGUUGGAUAUUUUUUUCAAAAUUCAAUGUUUGUGGGGUCCGUCUGAGACUUCUGAAUUUGGGGAUCUUAGGUCACAACACCUUUGGGUUUUUUCUUUGCAUCGCAAUCAUCCCAGCUUCACGGAUGCCUCAAGCAGUCAUCUGUUUUCAUUCGAAGCACAUUAUUGUGCAUACAGAUCUUCCAACACACUCAAAACAAGCUCGAAUAUAAAGAAUGUGGGGCCCUUUUGGUGUACGAGAGAGAGAUUUGAAAGAAUUCAGCCGUUUUGUGUACGGUGAUGAGGCAGGAAGUGAUAGCUCUGAUGACGAAAUUGAACCAGGAAGUGAUAGCUCUGAUGACAACCAUGAACCUGGAAUUGGUAGCUCUGAUGACGACAAUGAACUAGGAAGUGAUAGCUCUGAUGACGACGAUGAACCAAUCAGCAAAAGAUUCAAGAAAGUCUAAAUCAUUUUGUGCUUGGUUCAAUCAUUCAAUGAGAUGAAUAGGGAGAAACUUAUGAAGAUGGCCGGUGCGGUUUGCACUGGUGGAAAGGGUAGCAUGAGGAGAUGGGUGAAAUUUCAGCUUGAAACUCCUUCUCUACCAAGUUGAUUCACAGAGGCUGAAGUACCAAGUUUUAGCCUCAAUGGUUUUGAGUUAAAUAUGUGUGCAGUUGAUAAUUGAUAUGUCCAGUUUCAUGUCUGAUAUGCAUUAUAUUGAGUACCUGAUCAAGUAGUUUAGGUUGGAGGCUUCUCAUGCAUCCUAAUUCCUUGUGGGCCAGUAUACUCAGAGACAAGUAUUUCCCAGAUGGAGAUGUGCUCAAUGCUAAAAAAGGCGCCAGGGCCUCAUGGGGCUGGUCAAGCAUCCUGGAGGGGAUUAAGGUUAUUAGUAGGGGCGCUCAGUGGCAAGUGGUAAAUGGUCAGAACAUUAGUUUGUGGCAUGAUCGCUGGCGUCAUCCUUCUCUGGAUACCCAGCCGCUUUGUCCUCUGAAUAACGAAAUGUGCAAAGAAGUGCGGGUAGCAACAAUUAUUGACCCUGAUACAAGGUCCUGGAAUCUGGAUUCGAUCAGGCACCUUAUCUCCCCAAGAGUUGAAGUUGCAAUCUGUUCUACCCCGAUUGGUAGUAGAGCAGGUGUGGACCGAGUUAUCUGGCCUCUCAAUAAGCACGGGCAGUACUCUGUCAAAUCUGGCUAUCAUCUAUCUCGUGCUCUGACAAACUCGAGGAAUGUGGGUAGACCAUCUGGCUCCCGCGUGGUGGAAAGAAGAUAUGGAAAGUGAUUUGGCAUGCCAAAACUCUUCCAAAAAUUAGACACUUCCUGUGGCAAGCUGUGAGAAAUUGUGUGGCAACAAAGGCCAACAUUGCUAGCCGUCGUAUCCCCUGCUCCAUAUGUCCUAUCUGUGAGGAGAAUCCUGAAACGGUUGAGCAUGCCCUCCUUACGUGCCCAUGGGUGGUUGGAGUUUGGUUCGGAAGCCCGUUGGGGUACAUUGGGGAUAGGCAACAAGUGACAAGCCUUGAUUGCUGGAUAUUAUACUUGAUAUCGCACCCUGGUCCAUCAAAGGAUGAGGUUAAUCGUAUGGUUACCGUGAUGUCCUUCGUUAUGUGGAGCAUUUGGAAGGCUCGAUGUAAAGCCAUCUUUGAGCACAAGUCUCCUAACCCUGGCAUGGUGAUUCAAGAUGCAAAGGAUUCUUGGACUGACUUUCUUUCUUUCCUCCAUUCCAAGUGGGGGAGCCAUAAACAGAGACACGGAGGGGGAUUCUGAAGUUGUGAGAAGCACAAUAUGGCAAGCCCCCCUCGUCCCUUUUUUGAAACUAAAUGUUGAUGCUGCAUGGUCCAGUUCCUCUGGGAAAACUGGCAUUGGAAUAAUUAUCAGGGAUCAUCAUGGGGAGUUCAAAAGUGGUAAAAUAUGCAGGACAUCGUCCAUUUCUGCUGUGGAUGCUGAAGCUCAGGCUGUUAUUGAGGGUCUCUCCUUUGCUGCUAGCCAAGGCUAUCCCCACAUGUGUUGAAUUUGAUUCAAAACCCCUCAUCAACUGCUGUUUGGGGAAAAUCGCCAAGGGAGCUUGGGAACUAUACCCUUCCUUGGGGAGUAUCCAGGAGCUGAAGUCGAAGUUUGCUAGUGUUCGCUGGGAGUGGGUCCCUAGAGAAGCCAAUGCUGUGGCUGAUGCAGCGGCAGCGAUUGCAACCCGAGGGAUGGGUACGGAAGUUUGGGCCGAUCGACCUCCAUCCUCUCUAGUUCAUGUUCUUUCCCGGGAUGGGCUCCCCUGCCCCCCGUAAUUGGCCUCAUCUGAUGUUUGGAUCCUGACCAUAUUGACGCCUGUUGCUUCUGCGAUGUGUCUGAAGAAGCUUUGUUUUCUUGCUAUGGCUAUGAUCUAACUCUGCUUUUGUGGCUCUCUCUUGGGCGUUGUUUAGCUAGCCGUUUUUCAGUUUUGGUUUUUUAGCCUUUUCUUUUCUGGCUCUGUUUUUGUUUCUAUGUUUUUGCUGCUCUGUCUGUUUAGGUUCCUUUCUUUCUGGCGGGUGCCUAAUGGAAUUAUUCAGUUACCAAAAAAAAAAAAAUCAAGUGGUUUACUUCAUAAAAUUAUUGACUUGCAAUUUGAGUUCCUUAUGUGAAGUAGUUAGCCUGAUGGCAUGUUGAGUGGAUUGUUGUCUCUUGUUGUUUUAC